CGUUACUCGCAGAAUAAGCACCGGCUAACUCUGUGCCAGCAGCCGCGGUAAUACAGAGGGUGCAAGCGUUAAUCGGAUUUACUGGGCGUAAAGCGCGCGUAGGCGGCUAAUUAAGUCAAAUGUGAAAUCCCCGAGCUUAACUUGGGAAUUGCAUUCGAUACUGGUUAGCUAGAGUGUGGGAGAGGAUGGUAGAAUUCCAGGUGUAGCGGUGAAAUGCGUAGAGAUCUGGAGGAAUACCGAUGGCGAAGGCAGCCAUCUGGCCUAACACUGACGCUGAGGUGCGAAAGCAUGGGGAGCAAACAGGAUUAGAUACCCUGGUAGUCCAUGCCGUAAACGAUGUCUACUAGCCGUUGGGGCCUUUGAGGCUUUAGUGGCGCAGCUAACGCGAUAAGUAGACCGCCUGGGGAGUACGGUCGCAAGACUAAAACUCAAAUGAAUUGACGGGGGCCCGCACAAGCGGUGGAGCAUGUGGUUUAAUUCGAUGCAACGCGAAGAACCUUACCUGGCCUUGACAUAGUAAGAACUUUCCAGAGAUGGAUUGGUGCCUUCGGGAACUUACAUACAGGUGCUGCAUGGCUGUCGUCAGCUCGUGUCGUGAGAUGUUGGGUUAAGUCCCGCAACGAGCGCAACCCUUUUCCUUAUUUGCCAGCGAGUAAUGUCGGGAACUUUAAGGAUACUGCCAGUGACAAACUGGAGGAAGGCGGGGACGACGUCAAGUCAUCAUGGCCCUUACGGCCAGGGCUACACACGUGCUACAAUGGUCGGUACAAAGGGUUGCUACCUAGCGAUAGGAUGCUAAUCUCAAAAAGCCGAUCGUAGUCCGGAUUGGAGUCUGCAACUCGACUCCAUGAAGUCGGAAUCGCUAGUAAUCGCGGAUCAGAAUGCCGCGGUGAAUACGUUCCCGGGCCUUGUACACACCGCCCGUCACACCAUGGGAGUUUGUUGCACCAGAAGUAGCUAGCCUAACUGCAAAGAGGGCGGUACCACAGAGUACAUCCUCA
rnacentral:rRNA from 1 species